rnacentral:lncRNA from 1 species
CCCCUGGGGGUCCCCGCAGUCUCCUGGGGGUCCCCGCAGUCCCCUGGGUGCUGUUGAGGUGUCCCCGUGGUCCCCAGGGUGCUGCUGAGGUCUCUCUGUGGUCUUCAGGGUGCCAGGGAGGUGUCCCCAAUGUCCCUUGGGUGCUGGGGACAUGUCCCCAAGGUCCCCUGGCUGUGCCCACAGAUCCCUGGGUGCUGUUGAGGUGUCCCCAAGGUCCCCAGGGUGCCCGAACGGUUUCCUCAAGGUCCCCUGGGUGCUGGGGACAUGUCCCCAAGGUCCCCUGGGUGUCCCCACAGAUCCCUGGGUGCUGGGGACGUGUCCCCAAGGUCCCCAGGGUGCCAUGGAGGUGUCCCCAAGGUCCCCUGGGUGCUGUUGAGGUGUCCCCAAGGUCCCCAGGGUGCCAGGAGGGUGUCCCCAAGGUUCCUUGGGUGCUGGGGACAUGUCCCCAAGGUCUCCUGGGUGUCUCUGUAGUCUCCUGGGUGCUGCUGAGGUGUCCCCAAGGUGCCAGAGAGGUGUCCCCAGGGUGCUGUUGAGGUGUCCCUGUGGUCCCCAGGGUGCUGGGGACGUGUCCCCAAGGUCCCCUGGGUGCCAGGGAGGCAUCCCCAACGUCCCUUGGGUGCUGGGGACAUGUCCCCAAGGUCCCCUGGGUGCUGUUGAGGUGUCCCCAGGGUGCCAGGGAGGUGUCCCCAGGGUCCCCUCAGUGCUGUUGAGCUGUCCCCAAGGUCCCCAGGGUGCUGAGGACGUGUCCCCAAGGUCCCCUGGGUGCCAGGGAGGUGUCCCCAAUGUCCCUUGGGUGUCAGAGAGGUGUCCCUAAUGUUUCUUGGGUGCUGAGGACAUGUCCCCAAGGCCCCCUGGGUGUCCCCACAGAUCCCUGGGUGCUGUUGAGGUGUCCCCAAGGUCCCCAGGGUGCCAGGGAGGUGUCCCCAAGGUCCCUUGGGUGCUGGGGACGUGUCCCCAAGGUCCCCUGGGUGCUGUUGAGGUGUCCCUGUGGUCCCCAGGGUGCUGAGGACAUGUCCCCAAGGUCCCCUGGAUGCCAGGGAGGUGUCCCCAAUGUCUCUUGGGUGCUGGGGACAUGUCCCCAGGGUCCCCUCAGUGCUGUUGAGGUGUCCCUGUGGUCCUCAGGGUGCCAGGGAGGCAUCCCCAAUGUCCCUUGGGUGCUGCAGACAUGUCCCCAAGGUGCCAGAGAGGUGUCCCCAGGGUGCUGUUGAGGUGUCCCUGUGGUCCCCAGGGCACUGAGGACAUGUCCCCAAGGUCCCCUGGGUGCCAGGGAGGUGUCCCCAAGGUCCUCAGGUUGUCCCUACAGUCCCCUGGGUGCUGCUGAGGUGUCCCCAAGGUCCUCAGGGUGUCAGGGAGGUGUCCCUAAUGUCCCUUGGGUGCUGAGGACGUGUCCCCAGGGUGCUGAGGACGUGUCCCCAAGGUCCCCAGGGUGCUGUUGAGGCGUCCCCAAUGUCCCCAGGGUGC